rnacentral:rRNA from 1 species
UGGGGAAUAUUGGACAAUGGGGGCAACCCUGAUCCAGCAAUGCCGCGUGUGUGAAGAAGGUCUUCGGAUUGUAAAGCACUUUCGACGGGGACGAUGAUGACGGUACCCGUAGAAGAAGCCCCGGCUAACUUCGUGCCAGCAGCCGCGGUAAUACGAAGGGGGCUAGCGUUGCUCGGAAUGACUGGGCGUAAAGGGCGUGUAGGCGGUUUACACAGUCAGAUGUGAAAUCCCCGGGCUUAACCUGGGAGCUGCAUUUGAUACGUGUAGACUAGAGUGUGAGAGAGGGUUUGUGGAAUUCCCAGUGUAGAGGUGAA